AGAGUUUGAUCCUGGCUCAGGAUGAACGCUGGCGGCGUGCCUAAUACAUGCAAGUCGAACGGAGAACUUCCGGUAAUUUAUUACUGGAUGUUUCUUAGUGGCGAACGGGUGAGUAACGCGUUGGUGACCUGCCCCGAAGUGUGGAAUAACUCUGGGAAACUGGAGCUAAUACCGCAUAUGGACAGUAGAUUUAGAAAUCACUGUCUAAAGGUCUUCGGAUCGCUUCGGGAGGGGCCUGCGUCCCAUCAGCUAGUUGGUAGGGUAAUGGCCUACCAAGGCGACGACGGGUAGGGGGCCUGAGAGGGUGACCCCCCACAAUGGAACUGAAACACGGUCCAUACAUCUACGGAUGGCAGCAGUAGGGAAUAUUGCACAAUGGGCGAAAGCCUGAUGCAGCAACGCCGCGUGUGCGAUGAAGGCCUUCGGGUUGUAAAGCACUUUUCUGAGGGAAGAGGAAGGACGGUACCUCAGGAAUAAGUCUCGGCUAACUACGUGCCAGCAGCCGCGGUAACACGUAGGAGGCAAGCGUUAUCCGGAUUUACUGGGCGUAAAGCGCGUGCAGGCGGUUUGGUAAGUUGGAUGUGAAAGCUCCUGGCUCAACUGGGAGAGGCCGUUCAAUACUGCCAGACUAGAGGACGGUAGAGGAAGGUAGAAUUCCCGGUGUAGUGGUGAAAUGCGUAGAUAUCGGGAGGAAUACCAGUGGCGAAGGCGGCCUUCUGGACCGUUCCUGACGCUAAGACGCGAAAGCAUGGGUAGCGAACGGGAUUAGAAACCCCGGUAGUCCAUGCUGUAAACGAUGCAAACUUGGUGUUGGUGGUGUAAAAGCCAUCAGUGCCGCAGCUAACGCGAUAAGUUUGCCGCCUGGGGAUUACGGCCGCAAGGUUAAAACUCAAAGGAAUUGACGG
rnacentral:rRNA from 1 species